UGCUGGCAUCGCUCUCCUCCAGUGGGAGAACCAACCAGUUCCUGCACCAAAAAAAUAGUUUGAAGUUCUAAUGCAUUUGCCUUUGGCUUUCUGAUUGAGUUAUUGAAUAUAUUUUCUUUUGUGAAGGUUAAGGAAAGACUUGAAAGGCCUUUUCGUGGUUCACCCGGCCUGGUACGUGAGAGCGCUAAUCACCGUCAUCAAACCCUUUAUCAGUGAGAAAUUCAGCAGGAAGAUGCGCUUCAUCCACAGCUUGCAAGAACUGGCAGAGUUUGUUCCUGUGGCCCAGCUGCAAAUCCCAGACUGCAUCAGACAGUAUGAUGAGCAGAUGAACAGGUGAAGGUGUCUGACGGGAAGAGAGCAGAGGUGUACAUACUGUAUAGACUUCACACCGGGGUGACAUGCAUGUGGGAAUUGGAGCUGACUAGGGUUACAGGUCAAGCUUGAGGGCAAAUGCCUUAAUGACAGAAAAACAGCUUCCUACCACACGACUCUUUGAUGAAAUACAAAAAGACAGUGUUGUCCUUCAGAGAGAGGCAGCUGUGUCACGCUGCAAGGUGGGUCAGGAGAGGUCUGUGAGCAACAUGAAAGCCUCUUUGACGUCAUCGCGUUUAAACUGUUACACAAAAACAGACAAACAUGUUUCCCAGACUGUAGAAACUCACAUAAUGCACCCUUUACCUACUGUGUUUAGGCCUGAGAAAUCCCGCUAACGUUUCCUUUUGGACUUGUGGUAAUCAUACCCAAAUUAGUUUUGAUAUUUGCACUAAAUAGUUACAAAAUCUUGUUGUAUGCAUGCUACCUGAAACCUGUAUGAACCUGUGUUUAAGUGCUUCAAACUACUAUCUGGCUUUUUCGAAAUAAGUCUUGUAAAGUGGUAUCGACUCUCUAUUUUAUUGAAAUAUAUAAGUUUUUAUAUAUUCUGUAAAA